UACUUUGGUGGCGACCGGCGCACGGGUGCGUAACGCGUAUGCAACCUACCUUUAACAGGGGCAUAACACUGAGAAAUUGUACUAAUUCCCCAUAACAUUCGAGAAGGCAUCUUCUUGGGUUAAAAACUCCGGUGGUUAAAGAUGGGCAUGCGUUGUAUUAGCUAGUUGGUGAGGUAACGGCUCACCAAGGCAACGAUACAUAGGGGGACUGAGAGGUUAACCCCCCACAUUGGUACUGAGACACGGACCAA
rnacentral:rRNA from 1 species